AAGCUUUUUCCUUUCAAUUGAAUCUAAAACUAUACUGUACUUCACACUUGAUUGGUCCUUCAGAUGGAAGGAUUCAAUAUCCCUGCUGGAAAUCAGCUCGUCUUCUUCCCAUCCUUGGGCUUGUUGUUUGUCAAUAGAUGUUGGGAUCCAUACAUGCUCACCAGCCUUUCUUUCUUCAGGAUGAUAGACAGACAUACAGCAUAUGGGUUGACUCUAUGUCUCUCUGAAUCAGAAGGACAUGCUAUUAACUACGAUGCUUUCCUGCCUUCCAUAGGAAACCAAGGCUGAAGAGAGUUUCCAGAAGGAGGAAUUCUCCAGUGUCAAAUGCUUCAGAGACCAAGUAGAGAUUAAGUUGAUUCUUGUUAAUUUCUUGCCCCAAAAGCAACCUGAACCCAGUUUUCUCUCCUCCCACCCCAGGCCUCAGUGACAAAUUUUCAUUUGCUGAAGGACCUUUGACUUCACCAACCUGCUUCCUUCCCCUUCAAUCCCCUCCCCAACACAGAUCACACCUUCAUAGUCCACUGGGGGCAGUAUGUUGCCCUUGCAACCGGAGGAGAGCAGAAGGACAUGUAAUUUACUUCACGUUGUUUUUCUUUUUUGGAUCUCAGCAAGUCAGCAGGUAUUCCUGGAGAUGACAUCAGCAGGAGACCGGAUGUUGCCAAAGAAGAAAUGCUCUGCUUCCCUCUGUGGCGGGCUUUCUUCUUUUCUCUUCCUUUUUUCUUUAUCUCUUUUAUUU
rnacentral:lncRNA from 1 species